AUCCUGCACCACACCCCAGGUCUCCAGGUCUCUGCCAACACCAGGUUCAGCAGGAAGCCUGGGGGAAGGAUUGGCUCCAGUGGGUCUGUCUCCAGGAUCCAUCCCUUUCAGCCUUGCCCACAUGUGCCCACCAGCACAGCUUCCUUCAGCUGCAGGAUGUUUCAGGAACCUCCAUCCCUGAGGAGGAACGUGGAGCCAUGGAGAGCAUGGAGACAAUGUCACAGCAACAGAACCGAAGGACAGGACUGGAACAGUCACAUCAGCGCAAAGCUCUGAAUCUCUCUUGAGCCUUCACAGGAGAUUACUGUGAAUUUAAUUAGGCAAAGAUUCAGCCUCACAAUAGCAACUGCUGCAGCUCUUCCCUGCGUGUAAAAAGGGUCAUGCUGAAGACAUCCUUUGUUGGCCAUUGCCGAAGGCUGCCCUGCUCCCAGCAGGAGGGGAUUUGGCAGCAUGAGGCAAGGCUGGGUUUCCUGCCCAGGUCCAGCCUCAGCAGGACACCCCUCCAAGGCAUCCAGCAAUGAAAUGGGAACUUACUCCAUGAUCCUCUGGCUGGUUCUCCUAAAUCAAGCUGGAUUUAAAAGAAUAUCUAUCUCCUUUUAUUCCCGUUGGUAGGAAAUCAGAACAAGCUAUGGAGUUCCUUACAAACUCCCACAGAGCUGGUGCCCAACAGUUUGUGACGCAGGCAGAUGGUUUUCCGCCUCCUCUCUCGCCAGCCCGCGAGCUCAGAGCGCUUCUUCAUCUUCCAAAUGGUUUUUCACCCAGAGCCACCAUUUCUGGAGCUGGUUUGAAUACUGUCUCCAAGGGCCUGGAUUCAAUCACCAGCUCCUUUCACACGGGCAGCAGCACAGGAUGACAGCUUCCAGGGCUCACCAAAGCUGCACAGCAUUGUUCUAAAGUGUGGGGAUUAACCGCGUGCACUUUUUUGCUUUUUUCACCAAAAGAAUUGUUUAGUAAUUGCUCAGAGGAGGGGAGGGAAAUAAAGUCACAAACCCUUGUUUUA